UACGGGGGGAGCAAGCGUUGUUCGGAUUUACUGGGCGUAAAGAGCGCGUAGGCGGCUCGUUAAGUGUGAAGUGAAAUCUCCAGGGCUCAACCCGGAAACUGCUUUACAUACUGGCGAGCUGGAGUGAUGCAGAGGUUUGUGGAAUUCCUGGUGUAACGGUGAAAUGUGUUGAUAUCAGGAGGAACACCCAUGGCGAAGGCAGCAAACUGGGCAUCAACUGACGCUGAGGCGCGAAAGCGUGGGUACG
rnacentral:rRNA from 1 species